AGCGGGGCCCAUCCCGUAAGGCUAAAUACUCCCGAGAGACCGAUAGCGAACCAGUACUGUGAAGGAAAGGUGAAAAGAACCUCGAACAGAGGAGUGAAAGAGACCCUGAAACCAUGCGCCUACAAGCGGUCGGAGCAUGUUAAAAUGUGACGGCGUGCCUUUUGCAUAAUGAACCUACGAGUUACUCUCGCUGGCAAGGUUAAGCGAUUCAGUCGCGCAGCCGAAGCGAAAGCAAGUCCGAACAAGGCGUACAGUCAGCGGGAGUAGACGCGAAACCAAGUGAUCUACCCUUGGUCAGGUUGAAGGUUGGGUAACACCAACUGGAGGACCGCACCGAUAAGCGUUGAAAAGCUUACGGAUGAACUGAGGGUAGGAGUGAAAGGCCAAUCAAACUUGGAGAUAGCUCGUACUCCCCGAAAUGCAUUUAGGUGCAGCCUCGAAGCAGAGUGAUAGAGGUAGAGCGACUGAUAAGAUGCGAGGGCUUCACCGCCUAUCAAGUCUUGACAAACUCCGAAUACUAUCACUUGAUCUUUGGGAGUGAGGGCAUGGGUGCUAAGGUCCAUGUCCGAAAGAGGAACAACUCAGACCACCGGCUAAGGUCCCGAAAUAAGGGCUAAGUUGAAUAAACGAAGUAAAACUGCAAAGACAGCUAGGAUGUUGGCUUGGAAGCAGCCAUUCAUUUAAAGAGUGCGUAACAGCUCACUAGUCGAGGAGUUUUGCAUGGAUAAUAAUCGGGCAUAAGCCCUUUACCGAAGCUGUGGAUGUCGUAAGACAUGGUAGGGGAGCAUUCCGGCGGCGACGAAGGCCGUCCUCGAGGACGACUGGAGCUUUCGGAAAAGCAAAUGUAGGUAUAAGUAACGAUAAAGGGGGCGUGAAACCCCCUCGCCAUAAGACUAAGGAUUCCUGAUCAACGCUAAUCGGAUCAGGGUAAGUCGGGCCCUAAGGCGCAGCCGAACGGCGCAGCCGAUGGAAGAAACGGUAAAGAUUCCGUUACUGGAUAUAGGAGCGAUGUGGAGACGGAGAAGUGACACACCCGCCUGCCGACGGAAGCGCAGGUUAAAGGAAGUAGGUAAACGCCGGGCAGGCAAAUCCGCCCAGCGUGCCGAAGCUGACAGUAUCGAGAGCCCCCGGGCAAUCGAAUAGCGGUGGUAACCAGGCUCCCAAGAAAAUCCGCUAAGCAUAUUCUAUAUCCACCCGUACCCCAAACGGACACACGUAGUCGGGUAGAAUAUACCAAGGCGCUCGAAAGACUCACGGUUAAGGAACUAGGCAAAUUGACCCUGUAACCUCGGGAAAAAGGGUCCCCAGUAAGAUGGGGCGCAGAGAAUAGGUCCAGGCAACUGUUUAACAAAAACACAGGGCUGUGCAAAAUUUCAAGAUGAAGUAUACAGCCUGACACCUGCCCGGUGCCGGAAGGUUAAGAGGAGAGCUAAUCGCAAGAGAAGGCUUGAAUUGAAGCCCCGGUAAACGGCGGCCGUAACUAUAACGGUCCUAAGGUAGCGAAAUUCCUUGUCGG
rnacentral:rRNA from 1 species